rnacentral:rRNA from 1 species
AUUGAACGCUGGCGGCAGGCCUAACACAUGCAAGUCGAACGAGUGGCGGACGGGUGAGUAAUGUCUGGGAAACUGCCUGAUGGAGGGGGAUAACUACUGGAAACGGUAGCUAAUACCGCAUAUUAUUCGAGCGGCCGAUAACGGAUUAGCCAGUUGGUGGGGUAAAGGCCUACCAAGGCGACGAUCAGUAGCGGGUCUGAGAGGACGAUCCGCCACACUGGGACUGAGACACGGCCCAGACUCCUACGGGAGGCAGCAGUGGGGAAUUUUGGACAAUGGGCGCAAGCCUGAUGCAGCCAUGCCGCGUGUAUGAAGAAGGCCUUCGGGUUGUAAAGUACUUUCAGCGGGGAGGCGUUACCCGCAGAAGAAGCACCGGCUAACUCCGUGCCAGCAGCCGCGGUAAUAC